rnacentral:tRNA from 1 species
CAUUAGAUGGCAGAAAGUUUGCAAUGGAAUUUUAAAUCAUUAUAUAAUAAAUUAACGAUUAUUUCUAAUGG